rnacentral:rRNA from 1 species
AUUGAACGCUGGCGGCAGGCCUAACACAUGCAAGUCGAACGAGUUGCGAACGGGUGAGUAUCGCGUAGGUAACUACCUAUUAGAGGGGGAUAACUAUUGGAAACGAUAGCUAAUACCGCCUACUAGUAGAUGGACUUGCGGUGUAUUGGGUAGUAGGUAGGGUAAUGGCCUACCUAGGCAACGAUACGUAGCCGGCCUGGAAGGGGGAGCCGCCAAAAUGGGAAUGAGACAACGCCCAGGAUCCCUCGGGGGGGAGCAGUAGGGAAUCUUCGGCAAAGGGGGGAACCCUGGACGAGCAAAGGCGCGUGAGUGAAGGAGGUGUUCGGAUUGUAAAGCUCCGUUGUUCAGGAAGCGGUACUUAAACAGAAAGGGACGGCUAACUACGUGCCAGCAGCCGCGGUAAUAC